rnacentral:misc_RNA from 1 species
AUCGUAUUUACUCGUAUCCGUCGUGGAUACGCAGAUAGGUAUAUAAUAACAAACUAACAAAGCGUAUAAAUGUACAAUAUUCAGGUUUCGGAUAGCAUUCCCCCGUUCAGAAUGUUCCGAUAGUUACGUGUCGGUCAUUCCUACGCGGUUAACCGGUAUUCUCUAAUUUAAAAAUAAAAAUACGAUUCGUAAGUCGAAAGCGUCCGGGGCCCGGCGAAACGCCAUUAUUUACGGCAUUAAUGAUAUCGUUUAUUAAUAAUUAAUUAAUAUAACAAUUAUAUUAUUAUUAUUAUAAUUAUUAUUGUUAUGAUUGUUCCGUCUCUCUGUCUGGCACUCAGUGGUAGUUAAGAAACGUAGGUUCAACUACAUUAUCGAUAGAAUAUCUACAUACCUAUUGAAUAGAAUUUCAAAAAUUGAAAUGGCCGUGGCACCUAAUCCGGAAUAUUUGCAGACUCUCCUAGAAACAUUCAAAUGUUUUAUUUGUAUGGAGAAAAUACAAGAUGCACAUUUAUGUCCACAUUGUUCAAAAUUAUGUUGUUAUUCUUGUAUGCGUCGAUGGCUUACUGAACAACGAUCUCAAUGUCCACAUUGUAGAGCUACAUUACAUUUACAUGAAAUUGUCAACUGUAGAUGGGUUGAAGAUUUAUCCGAACAACUUGACUGUUUGAACAGUACGGUCAAUGUAGGAAGUAUAAGGCAGAGCCAAGAACAAAGAUGUGAAACUCAUAAUGAACAAUUGUCUGUAUUUUGCAUUUCAUGCAAUUCAACUAUUUGUCAUCGAUGUGCUCUAUUUGACAAUUCAGCCCAUAAUGGUCAUUCAUUCCGACCUGUUGAAGACAUUUAUAAUGAAACAAUAGCACAACUAGGCGAGAGUUGUGACAACCUUAAAACAAAAGAAGAAAUGAUUAAGAAAGACAUUAAGGAACUUGAUAAAAAUAUUAAACUAGUACAACAAGCCAAAGAGCAAAAAGUUCGGGAAAUACGCACAGCUGUGGAGUGCAUGAUGAUUGAUUUAGAAAAAGAUCUCAAUAACAAACUUACUACUUUAUUAUCUCAAAAAAAUCAUUUAGUUAAUGAAUCCGAACAAAUAGAGGAAUUUUUACAUGAUUGUGAUCUAGAAGUAUCUCGUAUGCCAAUGUCACAGUUAAUUAAUAACGCUCCAAGAUUUAAAAGAACUAUUUCUGCAAUGCAAAAUAAACAAUCUCCAGUCCUUAUGUCUGUGUAUCCAGAUUUUCAUAGUGAAGUUAUACCAAAAUUUGAAGGAGGUAAUUUAAUAAUUAAAUCAUUUUCUGACAAAAUGAUUCAGUCUGAACCCAUCUAUUCACUUCCAAUUGGUUGCAAUGGUGUCAGUUGGAGACUUAAAGUAUACCCUAAUGGCAAUGGCAUCGUGAGAGAUAGAUAUUUAUCAGUGUUUUUAGAGUUAACAUCUGGGCCAGCUGGAGUAUCUAGAUAUGAUUAUCGUAUUGAAAUGGUUAAUCAACUAAAUGAACAAAUCAAUGAUAAAUCUAAAAAUGUACUCAGAGAAUUCACAUCAGAUUUUGAAAUUGGAGAAUGUUGGGGAUAUAAUAGAUUUUUUAGACUUGAUUUAUUAAUUAAUGAAGGAUUUUUACAACAAGAUACAUUAAUUUUAAAAUUUAGUGUUCGACCACCUACUUACUAUCAAAAAUGUAGAGAGCAACAAUGGUAUUUAUCUAAAUUAGAACUUGAAAGAUCUGUACUCUUGCAGCAAUUUGAAGAAUUGAAACAGAAAAUCCCUGCCAAAGUUAAACCUAUUAGUAGAGAAAUUCCGAGUCCAAAGAAGAAACUUAAAAUUAAAAUACAAUCAUUGUUGGAUGAAUUUGAGUGUGCGGAAGCAACUGGACAUCUCAGGAGUCCAAUCAAAGAUCAAGAAGUUCAAGGAGCAUCGUGUGAAACUGCUUCUAAUAUGGUUCAUCCUCCGUUAUCAAUACAAACUUUAUAUGAUAAUGAAUUCCAAAAUCGUUUUCAAGGCGAAACUGCGCAAUCCAUGUUUGAGAGACUUAGUCGUCUUUUUGAAGAAUCAGAUAACCCAGAUAGACCCAGUCCUAUUCAUAUGAAUAAUAUCAACAACAUCGCUCUAGACGAUAUUGAACAUACAAGUCCAUCAGAUUUUCGUUUGGAAAAUUGUUUAAGAAAAGUUGGAGAAAAUCAAUUGAAUUCACCUAACAAAUUAAGAACUUCUGAAAAUUCACAAAUGGUUAAUAAAAUUCAAUAUGAAAUAACUGAAGCAAAAAUCUUCUAAUGAAUUGGCAAGUUCGUCAGAUCCAAUAAAUCUAAGAAUGUCUGAAAAUAGAUUUGAUGAUUUGCCUCACCAAACUAAUACAGUUCGUGGAUUACAUAACUCCUUACAAAACAAAGAUGAACAACCCGUAGUUCAAGAA